rnacentral:rRNA from 1 species
GCCUACGGGGGGCAGCAGUGGGGGAUAUUACACAAUGGGCGAAAGCCUGACGCAGCGACGCCGCGUGAGGGAUGAAGGUCUUCGGAUCGUAAACCUCUGUCAGCAGGGAAGAACGGUCACUGUGCUAAUCAGCAGUGAAUUGACGGUACCUGCAAAGGAAGCACCGGCUAACUCCGUGCCAGCAGCCGCGGUAAUACGGAGGGUGCGAGCGUUAAUCGGAAUUACUGGGCGUAAAGCGCUCGUAGGCGGUAUGUCAAGUCAAGGGUGAAAUCCCCGCGCUCAACGUGGGAACUGCCUUUGAAACU